ACCUGCUACUAAUCCUUUUUAUCUUUAAAGUCUGUAUUUUUUAUGUAUAAGUCAUUUUGGGUUAUCAUAAAAUAUACAUAAUUCUCGCCCCAAAAAAGACAAAAUGAAAAGAGAAUAUAUAAUAAGUUAUGAGCUUGCCGUGUCCUUAUCACCAAGGAUUCUAAAUAAACAGCUCUCUUUAUGUAAACACUGAGGGAUAUAAAACUGUGAUUACUUUCAAUAGGGAAUAGGAAUGCUUCCAUUUUUGUUCCUCGUUUCAAAGCAAAACAGUGAGAUGAAUCAUUUUAAACGUGUUUGGGAGCACUUUUAUUUUCCGCUUCAUUGGUUUGGGGGUCUGACAGUUGUAGGGCUAAGUUGCCUGUCAAACUUCUUCUGUCAUAAACUACAGAUGUCCAGAAGUACGUUAUUGUUUCAAUAUUUUGCUUCAAAUUCAUGGUUAACCAUAAAUUAAUGGCAUCUGUUAUAUCUUUCUUUCUUUCUUUCUUUCUUUCUUUCUUUCUUUCUUUCUUUCUUUCUUUCUUUCUUUCUUUCUUUCUUUCUUUCUUUCUUUCAUUUAAUUGUUUUCCAUUAAUGCAAGAUGUAUUUGAAGCACCUGCAAUAUCUCCUGGCGUACUGUGAAAAAUGUUGCUGUGUCUGGGAGGAUGACACAGUUCUGGGAGCAGGGCUUUUUGUGGAGGCGUGGAGUUUGCUCACUGUAAGUUCUGUGCAUUAUUUUCUUAAACAGGCUGCUUCUGUGAAUAUUGCUGCCAAUAACUUCAUGAGACAGGAUCAGCAGGGUAAAAAUAUGCCUCAGAGACAUCAAAAUUCCCUGGCAGCUCUGGUGCAAAAUUUCUCUGCUAACCACUGAAAAGCAGGAUGCAGGAAAUUGGCCAUCAGUCGUAGCAGGGAGAAAGUGGUUUUGUUGCCAAAGGUCCAUUCUCUUUGGAUUCCUCUUUUUAAGACAGAUUAUUUAAGAGACUGUGAUGUUUCAAAAGGAUGUACUGACAUUUUCAGAAUCUAACGUAUAGUCUGUGUUACCAGAACUGCUCUUCAGUGAUCUACAUUCAGUUGUUAUCAAUGCUAUCUAGUUGCUAAAUUGCCACUAAACAGAGAUGGCAACAUUUUGCACAAUUUUGAGUCUUAUCUGGGAGACAGAUUGCAGCAGGAUCCAUGGUACUAUAAAGAACCAACAUUCAUCUGCAAGUAGCCUCUUCUGUUUGUUGUAAUGAGCAUGUAUCAGUUGCAUAUUCAUUUUUCCUCCAAGUUCUGGGAGUCAAGAAGGCUUGUUCCAGCUCGGGAAGGCAGAUGACCUCUCUGAUUAAGGCCACAUUUUGUGAGGCCUAAGAAAAACCCCUUCCCCCAAAAAAGAUGGAAAAUCCCUGUAUAGCAAGAAAGACCAAAAUAAAUAAAUAAAUCACAUCUCUUUCUAUCCCA
rnacentral:lncRNA from 1 species